GAUGAAGAACGUAGCGAAAUGCGAUAAGUAAUGUGAAUUGCAGAAUUCAGUGAAUCAUCGAAUCUUUGAACGCACAUUGCGCCCGCCAGUAUUCUGGCGGGCAUGCCUGUUCGGGCGUCAUUUCAACCAUCAAGCCCCCGGCUUGUGUUGGGGACCUGCGGCUGCCGCAGGCCCUGAAAACCAGUGGCGGGCUCGCUGUCACACCGAGCGUAGUAGAUUUUCAUCUCGCUCAGGGCGUGCUGCGGGUUCCGGCCGUAAAAAGCCUUAUUUACCCAAGGUUGACCUCGGAUCAGGUAGGAAGACCCGCUGAACUUAAGCAUAUCAAUAAGCGGAGGA
rnacentral:misc_RNA from 1 species